rnacentral:rRNA from 1 species
UACGAAGGGUGCAAGCGUUACUCGGAAUUACUGGGCGUAAAGCGUGCGUAGGCGGUUUGUUAAGUCCGUUGUGAAAGCCCUGGGCUCAACCUGGGAAUUGCAGUGGAUACUGGCGAGCUAGAGUGCGGUAGAGGAUGGUGGAAUUCCCGGUGUAGCGGUGAAAUGCGUAGAGAUCGGGAGGAACACCCGUGGCGAAGGCGGCCAUCUGGACCAGCACUGACGCUGAGGCACGAAAGCGUGGGGAGUAAACAGG